UGCAUUCACUACUGUAAGUCGCUCUAGAUAAGAGCGUCUGCUAAAUGACUAAAU
rfam:Salmo salar isolate Sally breed double haploid chromosome ssa10, whole genome shotgun sequence.